GGGGUAGAAGGGCCGGGACCGGAGCUGCGCAAUUGCAGCGCCAGCCACAAUCCGCCGCCAGACUCUCGAGAGUUGCAGUUUCUGUGUGGAGACCAGAAAAGACUGACGACGUCAUGACUUUCUCACAGCAGUUCGCUCCGUCAUCUUAUCAGUUGCUUAAGAGGAAUGAAUUUCGGGACAACCAUUGGUUAACAGAAGAACACUGCUGCCAGUCCCACCCCUGUUUCCCUCCUUUCCCGCCUCCUCUCCCUUCUCAGAAUCAUUCUGAGACUAGAUUAUUUCUGUUUCCUGUGUGAGUGCUUAGUUGCUCAGUCGUGUCUUUGCAACCCCAUGGACUGUAGCCCACCAGGCUCCUCUGUUCAUGGGAUUCUCCAGGCAAGAAUACUGAAGCAGGUUGUCAUUCCCUUCUCCAGAGGAUCUUCUUGACCCAGGAAUCGAACCCACAUCUCCUGCAUUACAGGCAGAGUCUUUACUAUCUGAGCAACCAGGAAAGCCCUAUUUCUGUUUUACAGGAAGAAAAAGUAUGUCUCCCCCUUAACUUCAGAAUCAGUGUUGGUGACUGAAGCAAACUCAGCAGUUUCUGAUGCAUAAACCAACAU